CCCUGGCUCCUGCAGCUGCCCUUCUGUGUGCUCCCCCUCCCAUAAGGGGUUUGAGCAUGGUGGCCGAACAGAUGAGCCACACCCAUUGCACAUCCUGCGAGGGGGGUCAGAGAACUCUCCCAUUCCAAUUUUAAAAUUUUACAUACAUGCAGCAACAGUAUAAUGUAUGCCUAGACCUACAUUGGGCACACCUCAAUUCAGAAGUAUCACAUAUCAACAUUCAGUCAACUUCUUCCCAAUAAUCACACACCAUGAAAUUCAGCACUGUUGACAGGAAGUUUUCUCUUAUCUUGGGACUUCCUGCAAAUUUCUGGAGAGCAGAUUUUUAAAAAACUAUCUAGAGCUAAUAAGAUCUAAACCUGAGGCCUUGCUGACAGAAUCAGAUUAUUCAAUGGACUAAAAGGCUGAAUGGUGAGACGCAGGCUGGUCAAGAAGCCCUGCAAUUUUGGAAGCUGCAGCUUCAGCAACAGAAACACAAGGGAGAAUUCAAAUACUGCUGUCAAAUGCUCCAACAUUUCUCGAGAACUCAUAGCUCAUAGCUCAUGAGUUGAUGGAGGAGAAAAAGACUGCUCAGCUUUUCAUUAUUUCUCUUCAACAGAUUAACCAAUUACACAUAUAGAAACCACCACAAUCUAGCUAAGUGCUCUUCAGGGCUACAUGCUAUGAAAUUUCUGAAGGAUACCUGUUUCACUCUGGACAGGAAGAAAACAACAAUGAGAGUGGUCACAACCCACUGCACCAAGAGAAACAUUCUGCACUCAGUGACUGCUGCUUCCUUCAGCCUUAGGAAACUUCCCGUCUUGUGAAGGGUAUCUGGGCAAAGACUCCUGAUCCUCUUGAAAGAAUGCUAGAAAAUAUGUGAAGAAUGGGUACAGCAGAGAGAAACUAGGGACUAUGCCAACAGAUACGUGAGGCAUUAUAUUGUCCACACAAUAAAGUAGCAAGAAAAAUUAGUUCCUGAAGAACAAUCCUUACAGCUUCCUGAAGACCAAUCAUUAUGGCCUUUUAUUUCCCAUUUAUUUCCCCAUAUUGCAAUGUCAGUUAUUUCCUCCUCUCCUUGUUUCCAAAUGUGACCUAUAAAAUUUUGUUUUUCUGAAGGAGAAUCACUCUGAGACGAAUUCAUUAGAUAGUUACUGCAAGCUUCAAAAUGCAGUAUUUUUAAGCAUGGCUUACAUUUCUUGGGCAUGUGUUCUCCGAAUGUCUUUGAAACAAAAGCAGAAAGUCCCUCAAAUUUUUAUAUCUUAAACUACAAUUAAUUAGCUUUAUCUCUAAAUUUUAAAAAAUGCACCAUUAAUAUAAAGCAUAUCAACACAAAUUUUACCAAGAAGUAUAAUUUCACAUAUUAGUAUAAGACAGACUCAUCUAUUUAAAAGACUAUAAUUGACAGAAGCACUUAGUCUGACUAAGCAUAUUAGCAUUCAAUGCAAGCAAAUGUUAUGAACCAGAUUUUAGCAAAUUUGAACAAAUCACAGCAUAUUUUACAUAAUGAUAAUAACAGCAUUUGAGACUCUCUGAUUAAUUUUAAGCUCUCUACACAGAUCAGACUAGUGGAUGUGUCAUUGUUUUGUGGUAUCCAAAGAAAGGAAAUAAGAUUUUAUUUUCACUUAUAAAAAGAAAAAUAAUUUGAAAGUGUGGUUUAUUGAUGGCUAAGGCUGUAUGAGCAGGUAUAUUUUGAUCUAAGCAGUUAACAUGGCUAUGAAAUGUAAUUCCAUAAAAGUUGGUCCCUGCUUUUAAAUUCACCUUUUAAAAUUUUGUGGCCUCUUAUACUUAUGGAAAGCAGUAUCUACUCUAUUAGGUGAAAAAAGCAUGGCACUACUACCACCUACAAAAUGGUAGGCAGAGCAAAAACAAGUGUACAUAUAAUAAACACAUAUGCAUACAUACGUUAAAAGAACAUACCAAAAUCCUAAAAAAAUUUUUUAAGUUAAUUUUAAAGAAGGAGGGAAUAGGGCAGAACAAGGAAAGAAGCUAGCCUUGUUUGAAUUGUCUUUGUUUACAUUUUUUACUUUAAAACACUUUAUUUACAUAAUUUAUAAAACA
rnacentral:lncRNA from 1 species